rnacentral:rRNA from 1 species
UACGUAGGGGGCAAGCGUUGUCCGGAAUCAUUGGGCGUAAAGCGCGUGUAGGCGGCUGGCUAAGUCCGCUCUGAAAACCCGGGGCUCAACCCCCGGGCGUGCAUUCGAUACUGCGCGGCUCGAGACAGGUAGGGGAGAUCGGAAUUCCUGGUGUAGCGGUGAAAUGCGCAGAUAUCAGGAGGAACACCGGUGGCGAAGGCGGAUCUCUGGGCCUGUUCUGACGCUGAGGCGCGAAAGCUAGGGGAGCGAACAGG